CCUUUUUGGAGCCUGGAAAAAAAAAUCUUAAUGUGAUGUCAUUAUAGCACAGUUUCAGAAACCAAGAAGAAACAGUGGCAUCUGUAGCUAAAGUACAAUAACAAUUCUUAAAAUGUUCCUUAAAAGUGGCAAUAAAACCCUGAAAAGACCUUUGGGCCUUAUGAUGAGGCAGCUGCAAAAUCAUGUUAAAAAAUUUCUGUAAGGACAAGAGUAAUUACAAACCUGAUUAAAGUUUACCUACAUUUCAUUCCUAGAGUGUCUGAAAUGAGGACUGUGAAACCAGAUGGUUACAGAGCACAUGUGAUGGAUAUAUUCCAUCAAGCAUGUCCGUUGCCUUGGAAACAACAAGAAUAACAUUAUCUUUAGUGUCUAUUUCUUCACAAAACUGUUCAUUUAAGUGUUGCUGCCAAUCUAAGCAAAAUUCAUGUGAAUGCUUAAGUAUCGGCUCAAAAAAAUAGGUCUGCCUCUCCCCACCCUGUGGUAAGUGUGUUGGACGUUGUUGAGUGUUGCAGGAAUGAUAGCAGUGUGUGUCCUCUCCUCAGUGCAUGCCUUAUUCAGCUGCUUUUCUACAACCUUUCUUUUUGUUUUGUUUUGUUUUGCUUUGUUUUGUUGGCUGGUUGGUUGGUUGGUUGUUUUUUUUUGUUUGUUUUGAGGGAAUUCAAUUUGGGUUAAAAUCUUAAAUUAUCGUAUUCAGAGAGUUCAAUUGUUGUUUGAACAAAAACCAAACCAUAUGAUAAAUGUUUCUUCCUUUCCCAGUUUCUAUACUGAUAAAAGGAACCAGAGGCAGAGCAGAAGAGAGUUUGAAAAAGACAUGAGACAAUACAUAUGGCUUUUACGGGAAGUCUUAACCUUGCAAACAAGCACAUGGAUUAGAAAACAGUAAAUCUGAAGCUGAAUGAGGGAAUGUGUAUAAACAGAGAUGACAGACAGCACUGGCACCGUACUAACUUGAGAACAAAUGGCAUUUCCCACUGCCUUUGGAAGAUCUCCUCUCAAGGAAGGAAGGAAGGAAGGAAGGAAGGAAGGAAGGAAGGAAAGAAGGAACAUAAGGUGCCUCCCUUCUCAGUGACUGCUGCAAAGCUGAAUCCCUGUCAUUUUUAUCCACUGCAUCAACUUGGAUGACAAGCAUUUAGAGGAAAAGGUCAGGCACUAAUGAGUGACUGUGAGUGGGGAGACUGAGCACACCAGUAUUCAACCUCGUCUGGUUCUUUUAUGCUGCUAUGAUAAAAAACAGUUAAUGAUAAUAUUAUUUCUCUGAAGGGAAAAUCCUGUUCAGCAAAGUAAAAAUAUAUAUGACAAUCCUUGUAUAAUCAUUAGUAGAAAUUAUUUUUAAAGUUAGACAUAAAUUUUUCUACGAGACCCCGUAUGUUUGAAAUCACCUUGAAGUUGUUUAAUAUAAUUAGCUUUCAGACAUCAUUUCUAUGUGUUAAAAAUGUGCUAUGAAGAGGUGGAAACCUGAGAACACACCGAAGUGCAGAGUGGGCUUGAAGAAUUAAAUGAAUGUGGUCAGAGAGGAUUAAGUAUUACCAAAAGGAAAGGUUCCCAGAUCUGGGAACCAGUUU
rnacentral:lncRNA from 1 species